ACGUAGGGUGCGAGCGUUAAUCGGAAUUACUGGGCGUAAAGCGUGCGCAGGCGGUUUAGUAAGACAGGCGUGAAAUCCCCGGGCUCAACCUGGGAACUGCGCUUGUGACUGCUAAGCUAGAGUACGGCAGAGGGGGGUGGAAUUACACGUGUUGCAGUGAAGUGCGUAGAGAUGUGGGGGAGAACCGAUAGCGAAGGCAGGCCCCUGGGCUGAGACUGACACUCAUGCAAGAAGGCGUGGUUAGCAAAUAG
rnacentral:rRNA from 1 species